UACGAAGGGGGCUAGCGUUGCUCGGAAUCACUGGGCGUAAAGCGCACGUAGGCGGACUUUUAAGUCGGAGGUGAAAUCCUGGAGCUCAACUCCAGAACUGCCUUCGAUACUGGCGAUCUCGAGUUCGGGAGAGGUGAGUGGAACUGCGAGUGUAGAGGUGAAAUUCGUAGAUAUUCGCAAGAACACCAGUGGCGAAGGCGGCUCACUGGCCCGAUACUGACGCUGAGGUGCGAAAGCGUGGGGAGCAAACAGG
rnacentral:rRNA from 1 species